CUGCAAAAGUGAGGGUAAUAAUGUUGCCUUUCAGUCUUAUCACAAAUAUAAAAUAAAAAAGUAAAAUGUGAGUAUGAAGUGCUAGAAAUGUACACUACCAUUAUGACUAUAUAAGGAUAAUAGGAGAAAGCUUUUUUAUUUCAUUUUUUUUCCUCAUUUCUCUACCUAAACCCACAGGAAAUAUGCCUCUUCCAGAUUGAACAUCUUUUCAAUCUUUGUAAAAUAUAAGGAAGUACAGAAAAGCCAAAAAAAAUUUGGAAUAUCAAGGUCAUCAGGAAUGCUGCUUAUUGGCUGGGUGUGGUGGCUCAUGCCUGUAAUCCCAGCACUUUGGGAGGCCCAGACAGACAUCACAUCUCCAGCUACUGACCCCAGAUCACACAUCCAGGAGACAGGAAGCAACAUCUUGACACUUUUCACCAUGCAUCCUCCUCUUGAAUCAGUGGACUAUUUGUAACUUUUGCCAGUGGAGUGCAAUGUUGAAGAGGAACUCUCACUGUGGAAUGAAUGAAGGAGAACUCCAUAAAUCCAGAGACUUACACAGCAAAGGCAUUUAAAAGACCAACUAUGGAUACAUACAGAAGCUAGAGACAUACAAAGAUUGGGUACUUGGCUCAAGGCCACAUGGCUAAGAGGCCAAAUGGGGACUGGAAACCACAUUUUCUGACAACUUGAUCUAUGCCCUUUCCAAGCGCCUUCUCUGUUCACACUCCUCUUUUGCUAUGUGAAAUGCUGGGAAAGAGACGAGCUUAACAUAAUCACCACAGAAAGGGAAGAUAGAGUUUCAUGUCCAAAAAUGUGAAACCCUAAUUUCUUGGUAGGAUAAAAAUACAAGAAUAAAAAAAUGCAAUACUCUAAAAUUGAAUAAGUU
rnacentral:lncRNA from 13 species